AUCAACUUUCGAUGGUAGGAUAGAGGCCUACCAUGGUGGUAACGGGUAACGGGGUGUUAGGGCACGACACCGGAGAGGGAGCCUGAGAAACGGCUACCACAUCCAAGGAUGGCAGCAGGCGCGCAAAUUACCCAAUCCCGACACGGGGAGGUAGUGACAAUAAAUAACAAUACGGGGUUCUUUUGGAUUUCGUAAUUGGAAUGAGUACAAUUUAAAUCUCUUAACGAGGAACAAUUGGAGGGCAAGUCUGGUGCCAGCAGCCGCGGUAAUUCCAGCUCCAAUAGCGUAUAUUAAAGUUGUUGCAGUUAAAAAGCUCGUAGUUGAAUUUCGGGAUCAGUGGGUCGGUCGUGCCACUGGUAUGCACUGGCCCUACUGGUUCCUCCUUCUUGAAGAACUGUAAUGCCAUUAAUUUGGUGUUGCAGGGAAACAGGACUGUUACUUUGAAAAAAUUAGAGUGUUUAAAGCAGGCAAUCGCUUGAAUACAUUAGCAUGGAAUAAUGAAAUAGGACGAUCGAUCCUAUUUUGUUGGUUUCUAGGAUUGACGUAAUGAUUAAUAGGGAUAGUUGGGGGCAUUAGUAUUCAAUUGUCAGAGGUGAAAUUCUUGGAUUUAUUGAAGACUAACUACUGCGAAAGCAUUUGCCAAGGAUGUUUUCAUUAAUCAAGAACGAAAGUUAGGGGAUCGAAGACGAUCAGAUACCGUCGUAGUCUUAACCAUAAACUAUGCCGACUAGGGAUCGGAUGAUGUUAAUUUUUUAAUGACUCAUUCGGCGCCUUACGGGAAACCAAAGUGUUUGGGUUC
rnacentral:rRNA from 1 species